GACCUUAGCUCACGGUGGCAUUUGUUCAUUUUGUUGUUGAUGUAUUCAUUAGCACCAUGAGUAACUCGCUAAAUAGGUCUGUAAAAGACUUGCAAACUGGGCCUGGUAGGACAGGUUUGUAGGUAAGGGUGCUUGCUGUACCAAAAGGACCCCAGUUUGAUUUUUCAGCACCCAUGUAAAGCCUAUGGCUGCCCAUGCAGAUAGGAACGACCGCAGGAGAGUGGCUGGCAGAGAGUGCUGGCAGAGACUGUAGGAGUGGUGACAGCCAGUCACAGGUGGUACUGGUCUCACAGAGGCCACGGUGGUCUUGAAGUUACUAUAUAGCCAAGGAUGCCCUUGGACUUCUGACCUUGCUCCAGCCCAGAGGGUGGGCAUUAGAGGCCAGCACCAUCCCACCCGGUUUAUUCUGUGCUGAGGAUGGGACAGAGGCUCUCAUUCCACCCUGGGAGGCAGGGGAAGUGCUUCUUUCCUUUUCUAUGGCUGAGUAAUGUUCCCAUGUAUGGAUAUACCUCACUCUUUUCAUCUACAGAGGGUCUGUACAGGGGAGGGAAAUGGCCCUGAGUGGCUUUAAGCCAGGCUCACUCCAACUGUUGCCCAAGGGACCAGAGAGCAACCAACUAUGUCAAAUGCU